GGCAAGAUGGCCGAGCGGUCUAAGGCGCCAGACUCAAGCUACUGCUUUCUAAAUGGGCAACAUUUAGUGGAUUCUGGUAUCGAAAGAUGCGUGGGUUCAAAUCCCACUCUUGUCA